UCUCUCGCUCACUCGCUCGCUCUCUCUCCCCCUUCCACCCCCUCUCUGCCCUGGAUUCCCCAAC
rnacentral:tRNA from 1 species